rnacentral:rRNA from 1 species
UGUUUACCAAAAACAUCACCUCUAGCAUUUCCAGUAUUAGAGGCACUGCCUGCCCAGUGACAUCAGUUAAACGGCCGCGGUAUCCUGACCGUGCAAAGGUAGCAUAAUCAUUUGUUCCUUAAAUAGGGACUUGUAUGAAUGGCCACWCGAGGGCUUUACUGUCUCUUACUUCCAAUCCGUGAAAUUGACCUUCCCGUGAAGAGGCGGGAAUAUGACAAUAAGACGAGAAGACCCUAUGGAGMUUUAAUUAACCGACCCAAAGAGAUCUUGAUAAUCAACCGACAGGGAUAACAUACCUCUACCAUGGGCCGACAAUUUAGGUUGGGGUGACCUCGGAGAAUAAAACAACCUCCGAGUGAUUUAAAUCUAGACUAACUAGUCGAAAGUACUACAUCACUUAUUGAUCCAAAAACUUGAUCAACGGAACAAGUUACCCUAGGGAUAACAGCGCAAUCCUAUUUUAGAGUCCA